rnacentral:rRNA from 1 species
CAGUCGCCACGGUAAUACGAAGGGGGCUAGCGUUGUUCGGAUUUACUGGGCGUAAAGGGCGCGUAGGCGGACUGAUAAGUCAGAGGUGAAAUCCCAAGGCUCAACCUUGGAACUGCCUUUGAUACUGUUUGUCUUGAGUUCGAGAGAGGUAAGUGGAACUGCGAGUGUAGAGGUGAAAUUCGUAGAUAUUCGCAAGAACACCAGUGGCGAAGGCGGCUUACUGGCUCGAAACUGACGCUGAGGCGCGAAAGCGUGGGGAGCAAACAGGAUUAGAUACCCCUGUAGUCCCUGUCUCUUAUAC